rnacentral:rRNA from 1 species
GGCUUUGGUCUGGGUUCGGCUGGGGAUGGGCCUGCGGCCUAUCAGCUUGUUGGUGGGGUGAUGGCCUACCAAGGCGACGACGGGUAGCCGGCCUGAGAGGGCGACCGGCCACACUGGGACUGAGACACGGCCCAGACUCCUACGGGAGGCAGCAGUGGGGAAUAUUGCGCAAUGGGCGGAAGCCUGACGCAGCGACGCCGCGUGGGGGAUGACGGCCUUCGGGUUGUAAACCUCUUUCGCCAUCGACGAAGGUUCUGUGGUUGUGAGGCUGCAGGGUUGACGGUAGGUGGAGAAGAAGCACCGGCCAACUACGUGCCAGCAGCCGCGGUAAUACGUAGGGUGCGAGCGUUGUCCGGAAUUAUUGGGCGUAAAGAGCUCGUAGGCGGUGUGUCGCGUCGGCCGUGAAAACCUGCAGCUUAACUGUGGGCGUGCGGUCGAUACGGGCAUCACUGGAGUUCGGCAGGGGAGACUGGAAUUCCUGGUGUAGCGGUGAAAUGCGCAGAUAUCAGGAGGAACACCGGUGGCGAAGGCGGGUCUCUGGGCCGAUACUGACGCUGAGGAGCGAAAGCGUGGGGAGCGAACAGGAUUAGAUACCCUGGUAGUCCACGCCGUAAACGGUGGGCGCUAGGUGUGGGGGCCAUUCCACGGUCUCUGUGCCGCAGCUAACGCAUUAAGCGCCCCGCCUGGGGAGUACGGCCGCAAGGCUAAAACUCAAAGGAAUUGACGGAAUCGAAUU